rnacentral:lncRNA from 1 species
GUGGGGAAUGCCUGGAUGAAAGCGUGAAGAAUAGGCUGAUUGAAUGUGGCAGGAAGCUGGGAGGAAUGACGGACACGUUAGUGAUGGUCGUCCGGCUCCAAGUGGUCUUGACAGGUAUACACACUUUUGGAGGAGGAGGCCCUAGACUUCACCAGAGUCAUUGCCCAAGGAGCCCGUGGCACCAAAACAGGGAAGACCCUUGGGCUCAGCUGAUCCCCGAAGGCCCAAUGGUCUUCCAUGAAGCCAACAUUCAGUGUUCCAAGCUUCCCUCAUGGCUCCUGUUUGUGUCCUCUGAGGUGGAGCAGAACAACAAGAGCCCCUCCUUCCCCCAGAGCCCUCUACAGGCCCAAACGCCAGCAUCCUGCCCCUGGGCCUCCUCUGCUGCAGGCUAAGCAUCCCCAGUCCUCCGGGCAUUGCUCUCCUUCCAGGGCCUCGAGGCUCUCCCACUUGUAAAUGUUCCUCCUCUAACCUGUGGAAAGCUGAAUGGAGCCCUGUUCUCCCGCUCUAGCCUGGCAAGGAAGGACAGGCCCAACAGGACCCUCCUUCCUCUCCUCCUACGAGGUAAUCCUCCUCCUCCUUCUUCUUCUUCAGGCUUGAAAACCCAACUCUUGAAGAACUUGGGGGAGAUUCAUGGUGCCUUUUUAUGUUACCAUCAAUUAAAAACUAUACCAUAUAAUAUAUAACAUGAUAUAAUGCGCAUGUGUUGUCUUAUGUAAGAAGCAAUCAUAAGAUAA